UACGUAGGGUCCGAGCGUUGUCCGGAAUUACUGGGCGUAAAGAGCUCGUAGGUGGUUUGUCGCGUUGUUCGUGAAAACUCACAGCUCAACUGUGGGCGUGCGGGCGAUACGGGCAGACUAGAGUACUGCAGGGGAGACUGGAAUUCCUGGUGUAGCGGUGGAAUGCGCAGAUAUCAGGAGGAACACCGGUGGGCGAAGGCGGGGUCUCUGG
rnacentral:rRNA from 1 species